rnacentral:rRNA from 1 species
GUUGUGAGGUUAAGCGACUAAGCGUACACGGUGGAUGCCCUGGCAGUCAGAGGCGAUGAAGGACGUGCUAAUCUGCGAUAAGCGUCGGUAAGGUGAUAUGAACCGUUAUAACCGGCGAUUUCCGAAUGGGGAAACCCAGUGUGAUUCGUCACACUAUCAUUAACUGAAUCCAUAGGUUAAUGAGGCGAACCGGGGGAACUGAAACAUCUAAGUACCCCGAGGAAAAGAAAUCAACCGAGAUUCCCCCAGUAGCGGCGAGCGAACGGGGAGCAGCCCAGAGCCUGAAUCAGUGUGUGUGUUAGUGGAAGCGUCUGGAAAGGCGUGCGAUACAGGGUGACAGCCCCGUACACAAAAAUGCACAUACUGUGAGCUCGAUGAGUAGGGCGGGACACGUGGUAUCCUGUCUGAAUAUGGGGGGACCAUCCUCCAAGGCUAAAUACUCCUGACUGACCGAUAGUGAACCAGUACCGUGAGG